rnacentral:rRNA from 1 species
GGACGAACGCUGGCGGCGUGCUUAACACAUGCAAGUCGAACGGAAAGGCCCUGCUUUUGUGGGGUGCUCGAGUGGCGAACGGGUGAGUAACACGUGAGUAACCUGCCCUUGACUUUGGGAUAACUUCAGGAAACUGGGGCUAAUACCGGAUAGGAGCUCCUGCUGCAUGGUGGGGGUUGGAAAGUUUCGGCGGUUGGGGAUGGACUCGCGGCUUAUCAGCUUGUUGGUGGGGUAGUGGCUUACCAAGGCUUUGACGGGUAGCCGGCCUGCGAGGGUGACCGGCGACAUUGGGACUGAGAGACGGCCCAGACUCCUACGGGAGGCAGCAGUGGGGAAUAUUGCACAAUGGGCGGAAGCCUGAUGCAGCAACGCCGCGUGCGGGAUGACGGCCUUCGGGUUGUAAACCGCUUUCGCCUGUGACGAAGCGUGAGUGACGGUAAUGGGUAAAGAAGCACCGGCUAACUACGUG